rnacentral:miRNA from 1 species
ACCUUAGAAACCAACUAAGUUUGCUAUUGGUAUGAGCUUUUGUGUGCAUGCAUACUUCUUCAGAUACAUGCACACGAAAACUCAUACCAAUAACAAACUUAGCUGGUCUCUAAGGU